rnacentral:rRNA from 2 species
AGGUGCGAUCAUAUCAGCACUAAUGCGUCGGAUCCCAUCAGAACUCCGCAGUUAAGCUUGCUUAGGCGAGAGUAGUACUAGGAUGGGUGACCUCUUGGGAAGUCCUCGUGUUGCACCUC